GGCGGCUCGAGUGGUGGCCACUAUUACUGGGCUUAAAGCGUUCGUAGCUGGUUUGUUAAGUCUCUGGGGAAAUCUGCCGGCUCAACCGGCAGGCGUUCCAGGGAUACUGGCAGACUAGGGACCGGGAGAGGUGAGGGGUACUCCAGGGGUAGGAGUGAAAUCCUGUAAUCCUUGGGGGACCACCUGUGGCGAAGGCGCCUCACCAGAACGGCUCCGACAGUGAGGGACGAAAGCUGGGGGAGCAAACC
rnacentral:rRNA from 1 species